CAGAGCCAAUAAUGAAAGGACCAAGGCAGUGACAUCUCCGGUCCAUCCUCUGCUUGGAUAUCAGCCAGCACACCAACGCCUUAAAUCAAAUAGUUUUCUAAGAUCUAAAGAGAUGCUUGCAGGAGCACCUCAGCAAGCAAGAGUCCAAAAGUGGCAGGCUAAAACCCGGAAGCCAUGGCUGAUGCCAAAUGAGAAACUCCCCCCAGGCACACAGAAGACUGGGCAACUUUUUUUUUCCAUGUCAGGAGCAACUUGAGUCGCUUCUGGAGUGAGAGAAUUGGCUGUCUGCAAGGACGUUGCCCAGGGGACGCCCGGAUGUUUGGAUGUUUUUACCAUCCUUGUGGGAGGCUUCUCUCAUGUCCCCGCAUGGAGCUGGAGCUGAUAGAGGGAGCACAUCCGCACUCUCCCCUGGCAGCUCUCAGGUCAGCAACCCAACCUUCACGUCGCUUAGUCCACUACACCAUCUGGGGGCCCACUGGGCAACUUGGAAGGCGCUGAACAGACUACACUCUGGCAUUACAAGAUGCAGAGCCAACCUUAAGAAGGGUAAAGGUAAAGGUUCUCCCCUAGUUGUGCCCAACUCUGGGGGUUGGUGCUCAUCUCCAUUUCUAAGCUGAAGAACCGGUAUUGUCUGUAGACACCUCCAAAGUCAUGUGCUGGCAUGACUGUGUGGAGUGCAAUUACCUUCCUGCCGGAGCUGUACCUAUUGAUCUACUCACAUUUGCAUGUUUUUGAACUGCUAGGUUGGCAGAAGCUGGGGCUGACAGUGGGAGCUCACUCCGCUCCCCGGAUUUGAAUCGCCAACCUUUCGGUCAGCAAGUUCAACAGCUCAGAGGUUUAAUCCACCACGCCACCAGACCCUUUGUGGCACUUAAGAAAUGGAGCCACAUAGUGGCACCCAUGACAUGCGAGUGUGGAGAAGAGCAAACCACAGACCACCUACUACAAUGCAGUCUGAGCCUUGCCACAUGCACAAUGGAGGACCUUCUUACAACAACACCAGAGGCACUUCAAGUAGCCAGAUACUGGUCAAAGGACAUUUAGUAUAAUGCCAAGUUUUAAAACUUUAUGUGGGUUUUUAAAUACAGUACAACAGUAUCCUCGGUUCGCUUCUGACAUGAUAAAUAACAUUUUUUUUUCUUCCUCCACCUCUGCCACCCUUCUUUAACCUUCCCUCUGCUCCCUACCAAACCACCUUAUGGAUUCCCACCUUUAAAAAAACCUCUCCAUCAUAGCAUUUUGAAGAAUAUCCAAUUGCCCUAAUGGACUCCUGCCCUGGCUUUUGGACACCUAGGACAAACAAAUGUGUGCGCAUUCCAUUUCUUUUUGGAUUUUCGUCCUGCAAGAUUCUGUGCAAGCAAAAAAGAGAAACGAAUCUCAAAUUAAUUUCAUUUGCAAUCCCAGAUCUGACCCAACUUGAGUCAUUAGGAGAGGCAGGCAAGAAAUAAGACUAUUAUUGUGUUGCCGAAAGCUUCCAUGGCCAAAAUCACUGGGUGCUGUGAGUUUUCUGGGAUGUAUGGCCAUGUUCCAGAAGCAUUCUCUCCUGAUGUUUUGUUCAUAUCUAUGGCAGGCCUCCACAGAGGUUGUGAGGAUUGGUGGAAAUUAAGCAAGUGGAGUUUAUAUCUGUGGAAGGUCCAGGGUGGGAGAAAGAACUCUUGUCUGUUGGAGGCAAGUGUGAACAUUGCAAUUCAUCACCUUGAUUAGUAUUGCAGCUUCAAGGCCUGGCUGAUUCCUGCCUGGGGAAUCCUUUGUUUGAAGGUGUUAGCUGGCCCUGAUUGUUUCUUGUCUGGAAUUCCCCUGUGUUCUGAAUGUUGUUCUUUUUUUACUGUCCUGAUUUUAGAGUUUUUUAAAUACUGGUAGCCGGUUUUUGUUCAUUUUCAUGGUUUACUCCUUUCUGCUGAAAUUGUCCACAUGCUUGUGGAUUUCAAUGGCUUCUCUGUGUAUUCUGACAUAAAGAACAACACUCUGUAAACAGGAAUUCCAGACAUGAAACAAUCAGGGUCAGCUAACAUCCUCCCCCAAACAAAGGAUCCCCCCAAGCAGGAAUCAGCCAGGCUUUUGAAGCUGCUUUGAACGUAACUUGAGCCAUUAGGAGAGACAGGCAAGAAAUAAGACUAUUAUUGUUAUUAUUAUUAUUAUUAUUAUUAUUAUGUUUUUUAAAAAUUCAGGUGUUUCCUGGUAGUGAACAUCGGAUAAUAACAAUUGUUUGGAUUUGUAUAUGCUUAUGUGCUAAAAAUUUUGUAGCUCAAUUUGGAUUUCCUCUUUUUCUUGACAAACUGAAUCACUUUCAGCGCAAUCUGAAUGCAGUGCUGAAACUUCGACACGUGAACCUUUUCACCCCAGGAAAAAAGGAACAGCUGGUAACAAUUUCUUUUAUUAAUAAUAUAUCCUGCCCUCUAAUGCUUCAGGGUCAACAAAAUAGGAAGGAAAGAUGGAUGGACGGAAGGAAGGACACAAGAAAAGAAGCUGCUGUCCAUAUUUGUGUAGCCUCUCCAUCCACAGAUGUGCCUUCUUCAUAUAAUCUUCCAUCCAAAUCUGUGGCAAUUGUCCAGAACAAAAACCCACAGAUUCUCAUCCUUUCCUUAAUUGGAGAGAAUUUGAACAAGGCAUUUUUGCUAGAAGGAUUUCCCCAUCCCUGGUCUCUGGAAAUAAUAUCUUGCCUGUAGAAAGAAGAGAAGGACACGUGGUGCUUCCCUCAAGCCUCCUUAUUCUGGCUUUCCCUUGUGUAGAGAUGUGUGUGCUUGUGCAUUAUAAUGGCUUCAUGUUUCCAGCUGAAGCAAAGGUGGGCUUUUUGUAGUCACAAUGGAUGCAGUAAACAUUCUCCAGAAAUAUUCCCCAUAUCAUGCAUGAGAGCUGAAAUAUCAACUCAAUUUCUAGCUGAUCUUGCCCCAUAUUUAGCAAUGUCACCUUAUUUUGAUGCACACAGCAAACACAGAGGCCUGGUAUGAAGAUUUUCACAUUUUAAUCUAAAGGAUCACCAUCUCUUUAGUUUUCCUCACGGUUUUCUUUCUGAUGGGCAUAUAAUUGAGCUAUGGUGUUAUGCCUUCAGGUUUAUUUUCUAUCAAAGAAUGUAAGUUUUAAUUGAAGCCUUUCAUAAGGAUACAUUGUCAUUGUGCAUGACCGUGACAAGAUAAUGCAAUCUGUUCCCCAUACACACACAAACACACAAAACAGAGAGUGAUGCUAAAUGAGUAAAUAAAAUAUAUGCAGAAACACAUUUGUUUCUACCAAUAUAUCCAACAUAUUCCAUAGAAAAGGUUCAGCACUCAUAUCAACAAGAAAUUCAGCUCUUAUAUAAAUUAAACUUUAAAUUAAUGACACAGUUCUUUCAUCUCAGAGGACAAUACAGGCAGUCCUCAAGUUAUGAACAAGAUAGGUUCUGUAGGUUUGUUCUUAAGUUGAAUUUGUAUGUAAGUUGUACAUUUUUUAAAUGCAACACCAGCCAUAUAAGCUUUGAAUAACAUUGGGAAAGCCGGAGGUGAAAGGGGAAGCCUUUGACUUUGUUCUGUGUAUUUGUAUGUCAUUGUUACUCCACUGUAUUCAGGCAUUGAAUGUUUGCCUAUCUGUGUAUGUUGUAAUCCACACGGAGUCCCCUCAGGAGAUACAGUGGAGUAUAAAAAAGUGUUGUUGUUGUUGUUAUUAACAGCCCUGUGCUGUUUAGUUUUCUGUCUGUGCUCCUAUUCAAAAGAUUUCGCCACACGUUCUGUCCCUGUAGUGAUUGGAUUUUGAAAAAAGGACUUGUGGAAACAAGAAUUGGUGAUAAAACUGCAUUGGAGACCACCUUUUCCCAUGACAACUCUUUCAGUAGUCAAUUUUCCUUCUGAGGGGUAGAUUUCUCUCACUUUUUGUAGUCUCACCCUUGAUUGUAAUUGUGAGUCAUUUGUAUGUCAGAUGUUUGUAACUCGGGGAACUGCCUGUACUUGAGUUGCUAUUGCUCUAUUUCUGCUCUUUACUGUUCCAGGCUCUUUGACAAAAAUGUUAGAAGUACUGUACUGCAUGAGACUGACAAGCCUAUGAUUUUCUUCCUCCCCACUUCAGUAUCUGAAGAGUUUUGCUUCCUUCCAACGUCAGUAUCAUCAGCUCUCCAGAAACAACAGGAUCACUUGUGGUAGCUGAUGGUCCCAUUCCAGUGGGGCAGUAAGUCCACUCUAUGUUUUAUCCACAUUUUAGAAGCUUUAAACAAAUCUUGGAGAUAGGGUUCAAAUAGCUUGGAUAGCUCUUUCAUAUAGGAAUGGAUCUCCACUAUUGUGAUAUUCAGUAACAAGAUUAUCAAGUUACCCAUAUUCAAUAUUUUUACUAUGAUUUGAAGCCACAAAUCAACAAUCACAAAUACAACAUGCUGUUCUCCAUUUCUGUGCUGACAUUUGCAACAUCACACAAGUGAUCCAGAGAUGUUACUUCUGCUGUAAUUCUAUAGAUUGCCUUCUUUUCUAUUUCCAAAUCCAUUGCAUGCUGAUUUUUUUUCCAUUCUCAGAAUAUAUCAAAGGCUCUGAAUUAUUCAGAUUUCUACUUCAAAUUGCAGUUAUAUUUUCAGCCCUUGACCUUGGACGUGUAGAAUCAAAUAAAAAAGAAAGACUCAACCAAGUGUAUUUCUCAUACAUUCCUAGUAAUAAACAUUUUCCUCAACACACUUGCUGGGACAGAGAGCUUUGUAUUAAAACAGCAUUGCCAUACUGUAUGUGUAUUUGAAAAUGCAGGCUUUGACUCAGUAAGUCAGAAAUAUUAAUCAUCACAAUGAUUUUGAUCUCAAAUAUGGCCCCAUAAUCAGAAUCAAGGGAAUAUACUGUGUUUGAUGUUGUACUAUAGAUUCAGAUCUUUGAUUGUUUUCAGUGGGGGAGGGGUACAUAAUUUCUUUGUUCAGAAGGAGGUUUCAAUAUUGCGUCUUCCUUACUAGACAUGGAAAAAGCAAGCAGUCUGAUGCUAGAGAAAAUUCAUUUCUUACCCCCCUUCUCACUACAUUUACAGAUUAAUAUGCAAAUGUGAUGCCCUUUACACCUGUUGUGAGCUGCCAGAACAGCAAAUGCACUCUGAAUGCUGCAUGUAGUGUUGUUUUCUUAGGAAUGCAUACAUGUAUGUUUAAAUCAGUAUUUGAAUGCAAAUUACUCAUUCUCUUUAGCUGUCUCUGACCCCUGAGAAAUGGUGUGAUAAGAACAGCUGAAACUAAAUCUGCAUGUUUUAAUUGGAUUGUGAAUAUGACAGGAAGCAUGACCACAGGCUGGAUGUCAAUAUGAUUAUGAUGUCAGCAUUUUCAGACUCCCAGGAGAGGAUGACAUUAUAAGGUAGACCACAUCGUAAUGGCAUGAUUUUAAAAAGAAUUUAGUUUGUUUUUUGACUGACUAAAUAGGUAGGCAAAGAAAUGUUGAAAACCUUUUCUGUGUGAGCCAUUCUAAGUACUAGUUCCAGAUUUGCGGGAACAUUCAGGCAAGUUAUAUCCAUCCAAGUGUCAAUAUAUGCACAUCACAGUUGCUACUGCUUAUUGGUUUGAUCUGUAAAGUUUGUUUGGUUUGGUUUGUCAUAAUUGCCAUUCCCCAAAGGAUAGAAAAAUGUGUAUGGAAUUUACUCCUCUUCUUACUUAUCAGCAAGGCACAAGAACAAGACACUGCAGCAACCAGGACAGCAUGUUCAGAGAGCUUCAGAGAUUGACCAUGGGCCUCCUUACUAAGGUAACGGCUUCAGUAAAGGUCUGCCAGUGAUGAUUCAUCAUGCCAGACCUGGGUUACCUGGAUGUCCUCACUCCCACCUUUUUGUGAACUCCAGGAACAUCAAAAUACUAGCCAGUGGACUCAUAUUCCACCAUUCCAUGGGCAUUUAGUUGCAACCAGAGAAUAGAGAGCAUCAGAGCAGCAUCUAGCCAUAUAUCUGCCUAUAAUCAGGUGAACAAUGGGAACAUCUUCAUCUGUGACCUUUGGAUGGUGCUCAGAAAGCCCAGAAUGAUGUUUUUGCUGUUUUUGGAACUUCUCCAGUCCUCUACACUGGUCAUUAAAUUGUCACAGAAGGGAGGAUCCUACAGGAGGAAAUGAUUGGUAUGAGAAUGGGGCUUAUUGCAUAAAGAAAGGAAUGAAUUCAUUCAUACAACAAUUUUCAAAAAACUUUCAGAACUCAGAUGUACCUUUUAUUUAUGCCUGUGGAUGUAAAUAACAGCUUUCUCAGUGGUUGGUCCCAGACGGAGAAACUCUUUCAUGGGAGGUCCAGCUGGUUGCCUCACUUUUCUUUUUCCAUUUGCAGGCAGCAAUUCUUUUAUGUCAUCAGGCCUUUGAUUCUUAAAUUACGUGGCAGAAAGAGAUACACUCGCUACACUGUUACCUUUAUGACUCUGUUUUAAAUGUGUUUAAACUGUUUUCAGUUAUGUAGCUUUUAAUGGAGUUGUUUGUUUAAUUUUUGUAUUAACUUGUGUAAAACAAGGGUGCAAAUUAUUCCAGUCUGAUGCCAGGAGAUAGGCAGGAUAUAAACAAAUAACAGUAUAUCUCCUAUUUCUAAUGGAGAUUGUCUUAGUUGUGCUAUAAUAGUUAUUAACUGCAAUCUGAAAGUAGGUUGGGUUUAUCCUUGACUCAGAAAAGCACAAUUAGGAAGGGAGGAGUUGUUCUAUAUGCCUUCAAGGCAUUUCUCAUUUAUGGUGUCCCUAAAGUGAACCUUGUUGGAAUUCAACCCCACACUGCCCAAGUCUGCAGUCCUCAAUGAGCUUUAGAAUAGGCUGAGGGAAUCCCUUCCCCCUGACUCCUGAAUCACAGUUGAAACGUAUUUAUUUGUUCUCUUCUUUGUCUUUCUGCUUUCAUUCUAAUUGAUUAUGUAGAAUGAAUACUUUUCAGGUCCGUGCCUUAGUUUCAGACUUCUGUCUUUUUACGUCUUAGUGUGUAUUGAGACCUCUCUCUCCUUGUGUGUGUCAGGAGAGAUGUAGUGUUUGGAGAUUUUCCCCUCUCUUUUGAACCCAAGGAGAGAUGGAGCUAGAGAGUAACUCAUACCCAGUUAUUUACUACUAAGAAAUGUAGUUAUUAUUUUUGUAAAUAAAACUUUUAUAAUUUUAAAAACUGAA